ACGGAAGGCAGCAGUGAGGAAUAUUGGUCAAUGGUCGGAAGACUGAACCAGCCAUGCCGCGUGAAGGAUUAAGGCCCUAUGGGUCGUAAACUUCUUUUGUACGGGAGCAAUAAGAGCCACGUGUGGUUCGAUGAGAGUACCGUACGAAUAAGCAUCGGCUAACUCCGUGCCAGCAGCCGCGGUAAUACGGAGGAUGCAAGCGUUAUCCGGAUUUAUUGGGUUUAAAGGGAGCGUAGGCGGCCUUUUAAGUCAGCGGUCAAAUGUCAGCGCCCAACGCUGGCCUGCCGUUGAUACUGAUGGGCUUGAAUACACACAAGGAAGGUGGAAUUCGUCGUGUAGCGGUGAAAUGCUUAGAUAUGACGAAGAACUCCGAUUGCGAAGGCAGCCUUCUGGAGUGCGAUUGACGCUGAGGCUCGAAAGCGCGGGUAUCAAACAGGAUUAGAUACCCUGGUA
rnacentral:rRNA from 1 species